rnacentral:rRNA from 1 species
CAUGGUUCGAAAUUGAAAGGCGGCUUCGGCUGUCACUUAUGGAUGGACCCGCGUCGCAUUAGCUAGUUGGUGAGGUAACGGCUCACCAAGGCAACGAUGCGUAGCCGACCUGAGAGGGUGAUCGGCCACACUGGGACUGAGACACGGCCCAGACUCCUACGGGAGGCAGCAGUAGGGAAUCUUCCGCAAUGGACGAAAGUCUGACGGAGCAACGCCGCGUGAGUGAUGAAGGCUUUCGGGUCGUAAAACUCUGUUGUUAGGGAAGAACAAGUGCUAGUUGAAUAAGCUGGCACCUUGACGGUACCUAACCAGAAAGCCACGGCUAACUACGUGCCAGCAGCCGCGGUAAUACGUAGGUGGCAAGCGUUAUCCGGAAUUAUUGGGCGUAAAGCGCGCGCAGGUGGUUUCUUAAGUCUGAUGUGAAAGCCCACGGCUCAACCGUGGAGGGUCAUUGGAAACUGGGAGACUUGAGUGCAGAAGAGGAAAGUGGAAUUCCAUGUGUAGCGGUGAAAUGCGUAGAGAUAUGGAGGAACACCAGUGGCGAAGGCGACUUUCUGGUCUGUAACUGACA